GUAAUAACCUCUUGGAUCAUUGGAACCAACUCAAGUUUUACUUUCAAAACCUCAUCCUCUAACAUGCCAAUCUGACUGCUACUGUUAACCAUGUAGCUUAGAAGCAAAUGCACAUCCAAUGCAGAUUCAAACAUCACUUUAGCAACCUGAGAAGUCGCCUGCACUGUAAGGGCAGUGCUGACUGUGAAGAGUCCUUCAGAAUCCAAGUUAUGCUCAUAUUUUCGAGGCACGAGAAAUUUCAAAUAGCUUUCAAUAACAUGCAAAACGCUCCUCCAUGUGGUAGCUCUACUGCACAAGUUGUGCAGGGAUAAAAACAUAUCUACUGAAAAUUUUCUGAGACUUUUGUGGUAGGAAAUUUCCUUAUUCAAUGCUACAUCAGUUCCAAGUUCGGAUAAAUGGAGUGCCAUUGAUGAGCUAUAUCCACUAUCUAAAUUUUUCAGCAACCGAGGAAUGACUUCUUCAGAUGAUAAACUUGGUGUUCUAAGAAGAGACUCAUAAAAUAUGGCAGGAGCAGCUUUGCCCAACUGUUGACGGAGAGUAUUAACACACUGCAGUAUUUCAAAAAGAAUUUCCCGUUCAAGAUCACUAUCGGAGGAGUCAAACCUAGAGCAUAUUAUAUUUCCAUGUUCACCGGAAGUUCCUGAGGCAAAAACAAGAAGCUCUAUGUCCUCCAGACUACGACACAUGGAGACUGAGUU
rnacentral:misc_RNA from 1 species